rnacentral:rRNA from 1 species
UACGUAGGGGGCAAGCGUUGUCCGGAAUCAUUGGGCGUAAAGAGCGUGUAGGCGGCUCGGUAAGUCCGCUCUGAAAGCCCGGGGCUCAACCCCGGGAGGCGGGCGGAUACUGUCGGGCUAGAGUCCGGAAGAGGCGAGUGGAAUUCCUGGUGUAGCGGUGAAAUGCGCAGAUAUCAGGAGGAACACCAAUGGCGAAGGCAGAUCUCUGGGCCGUAACUGACGCUGAGGAGCGAAAGCAUGGGGAGCGAACAGG